GUCUCUCCUCCCACAAGGGAAGCAUUAGCAGCUGAUUUUCCAUUCUGACCCAUGGUGGCAGUAGGAUUGAGCCCCAAAUCAACCAACGAAGGAAUCUCCCCAGGUUCCACAUCACCUCUAGCAGGCAAUCCCCUCAAUUGAUCCAAUGCCUCAAUUGUCUUCCUUACCUCCAAUCCCUGCACUUUCUCCCUAAAGCCUCCGUAAUUCGUAGGCAUUUGCUCCAACUUAAAAGGCAAAUCAUCAACAUGAUACAAUGUACUACCCCAGAAAUACUUCACCUCCAAACCCUCAUCCUUCAUUACAGCAUCAAUCUUAUCUUCCCCUUUAACCUCAUCAUGUGAAACCUCCCUAUGAGCAUACACAGCUUCAGCUCCAACAGCUUUAGCUAAUUCCACCAACACAGUCUCCGGCUUCCCAAUUCUAACAACAAGAUCAGACCCUCUUGCCUGUAGAUUCUUCCUAAGGUCAGCAACAGAAUCAAUUAAAAAACUAGCCCUAUACGGCCCAGUUUUAUCAAACCCAGAUGAGGAUUUUCCAUAAUCUCUCGGGUCAAAACAGUAUACAGCCAAUACAGACAUGGACUCAUUAUGAGCCGCGUUAAGACACUCAUUAUCAUGAACACGAAGAUCGUUACGGAACCAAACAAUCGACGCUCGUCGAAGCCCAGCAGCAUUAGAAGGCUCAGAAGGACGAAGAGGGUUAAGAGUUAGAGUAUUCUGAAGAGGGUUAGCAGAAAUAGUGGACUUGAAUUUGGAAUUUGUAGGUGGAAGAGAAGAAGCUGAAAGUGAGAGAUUUGUAAGAGAUGAAACUUGAGUUGGGAUUUUGACUUUGUUUGGUUUGUUGAAAAGGGUUGAGAUUUUAGGAGGAUUAAGGAAAUGGGUUGGAAGGAUUGUGGAUAAAGCAAGUGAAAUUGAAGCUAUCGGUAAAAUGGGUGUCUGCUGUUGUUCUUCUUGAGGUGUUUGGGCUUCUGAGUUAUCGGAAAAUUGAUUCUUUGGAUCCAUUUCUGAUGAGUUUUCCGGUGAGAAAAAUGUACAGAAUCAGAGGAAGAAGAUGAAGAUAAGCGACGGCUUAA
rnacentral:misc_RNA from 1 species